rnacentral:tRNA from 1 species
GGCUCAAUGGUCUACUAGGGGUAUGAUUCUCGCUUUGGAUGCGAGAGGUCCCGGGUUCAAAUCACGGUUGAGCCC